rnacentral:rRNA from 1 species
AUUGAACGCUGGCGGCAGGCCUAACACAUGCAAGUCGAGCGGAUGAAGGGAGCUUGCUCCUGGAUUCAGCGGCGGACGGGUGAGUAAUGCCUAGGAAUCUGCCUGGUAGUGGGGGAUAACGUCCGGAAACGGGCGCUAAUACCGCAUACGUCCUGAGGGAGAAAGUGGGGGAUCUUCGGACCUCAUGCUAUCAGAUGAGCCUAGGUCGGAUUAGCUAGUUGGUGGGGUAAAGGCCUACCAAGGCGACGAUCCGUAACUGGUCUGAGAGGAUGAUCAGUCAAACUGGAACUGAGACACGGUCAAGACGCCUACGGGAGGCAGCAGUAGGGAAUAUUGGACAAUGGGCGAAAGCCUGAUCCAGCCAUGCCGCGUGUGUGAAGAAGGUCUUCGGAUUGUAAAGCACUUUAAGUUGGGAGGAAGGGCAGUAAGUUAAUACCUUGCUGUUUUGACGAUACCAACAGAAUAAGCACCGGCUAACUUCGUG